GACGAACCGUGCGAACGUUGUUCGGAAUCACUGGGCUUAAAGGGCGCGUAGGCGGUCUGCCAAGUCCGGGGUGAAAGCCCCCAGCUCAACUGGGGAAGUGCCUUGGAUACUGGUGGACUCGAGCGAGGCAGGGGUCGUGGGGACUUCCGGUGGAGCGGUGAAAUGCGUUGAUAUCGGAAGGAACGCCGAUGGCGAAAGCGCACGACUGGUCCUCUUCUGGCGCCGAGGCGCGAAAGCCAGGGGAGCAAACGGG
rnacentral:rRNA from 1 species